UACGUAGGGGGCAAGCGUUGUCCGGAUUCAUUGGGCGUAAAGCGCUUUAAGGCGGUUCGCUAAGUCGCGUGUGAAACCUCCAGGCUCAACCUGGAGACGCCACGCGAUACUGGCGUGACUAGAGUUCGGUAGGGGAUCACGGAAUUCCUGGUGUAGCGGUGAAAUGCGCAGAUAUCAGGAGGAACACCGGUGGCGAAGGCGGAUCUCUGGGCCUUACCUGACGCUGAGGCGCGAAAGCUAGGGGAGCGAACAGG
rnacentral:rRNA from 1 species